CAAGAGGUAGCUCACAUCACCUAAAGCAUUCAACUUACAAUUGAAAGACGUCCACAAAGACCUUCUUGA
rnacentral:tRNA from 1 species